rnacentral:lncRNA from 1 species
CCACUCUUGGAACAGCUAGUAAAACUUCAGGUGCAUUAUAAAAAGUACAGUAAUGCAUUGGCUUCAACUUGCAUAUUUCCCAAACAUGGGCGUUUGCAAGAAAAGCAAACACUUUUUGAUAACAUAUACUGAAGGAUCUUAAAAUAAGAUCAGCAGCUUAUAAGUGAACCUAAAAAUCUAUACACUGUUUCCAUUGAUCUCAAGGUUAUUUAGAGAUCUGCUCACGUCCUCCUACCCCUAAAGACUUUUUAGUUUUUCAUAUUCUCUUUCUCUUCUUCUACCUAGAAGUAUUAAAUUUUCAUAUUGUGAUCCACCAUAGAUAGGUAUGUUUUCUUCAUUUAACCUAACGUGAGUAUUUUUCUAUUUUGUUUCAUAGUCAUUGUUACAAAUGACGGAGUAUUCUGUUGAAUAAAUGCACUGUAAUUUAACCUUUCUCUAAUUUCCCCAACUUUAUUAUAUAUAAGUUACAGUGCUCAACCUGUGUAUUGUUUUUCUUAUUUCGAAUUUCCCCCUUUAGGAAAAUUUUUGGAAAGCGACAGUUCUGGGGUAAAGGGCAUAAGGCUUUUUAAAUAACUUUAAGAUUUUAAAGAUAUAUAGAGCCAAUUGCUUUCCGAAAGGUGGUACCAAUUUACAAUUGCACCGGCUGUGAAUGUAAUAGACCGUAGAAAUUGAUCAUACACAAUUGGAAAUGAGUAAGUGGAGAGCUCUAAAAAGUUUUAGUUGUGACCAAAUCUGUUGUCUUGAGUAUCCUAGUAUCAAUGCAACAUUACCAGGAUUGUUAGUGAACUAAACCUUUUAAAUAAUUUUAAUGUUUAUUUCUAGUUUUUCAUCUGUAGCAUUUUACAAUCAGAAUAUAAUUGCUUAUGGUAGAUAAUUUGGAAAACGCAGAAGUAUACUAAGAACAAAGUCAACAAUAAUUCCACCACCCAGCAAUAAGUACUGAAUGGCUAAAAUAACUCUUUGGUAAAUUUAUUUUCAGUGUUUCCUGACACCCCAAGCAUUUAUAGAUAUAUAUGUUUAAAAAGAGUCGUGUUAUAUAUAGGAGUUUAUGUUCCUCCCUUGGGUAUUUUGAGAAACUAUAAAAUUAAAUCAUUCUUAUGAUUAAGAAAAACAGUGUUACAGCAACAGCCUGUUUCAAUCCCACCUCCACUUACAUUUCCAUUCCAACACUUCAGUGCUGACUAACACCCACUGUUUGAAAAACUUUCUAGAAUUUACAUGUAUAUUUUAUAUACACUUUGAAUAUAUCUUCCCUUCCUUCUUUACCCCCAUACAUAUCAAAAUAUGCUUUAACUUUGACUAUCUUGUUAUUAACAAAAGACUUAAAUAAAUAUGUUAACUUAAAACAAUUGUCAAUUAUUCUUGGUGCAAAAUGAAUGUUUAUCAUACUACUCUCUUUUUCUGCAUUUAAAAAUAUUUCUUAAAACAAUUCAGUUAAGUUUAAUUAAGCUCCAUUAUCUUGGGCUGGGUGCUGUGGCUUACGGCUGUAAUCCCAGUACUUUAGGAGGCCAAAGUAGGUGAAUCACCUGAGGUCAGAAGUUUGAGACCAGCUUGACCAACAUGACGAAACCCUGUCUCUACUAAAAAUACAAAAAAAUUAGCUGCGUAUGGUGGCGCAUGCCCGUAACCCCAGCUACUCGGGAGGCUGAGGCAGGAGAAUCACUUGAACCGGGGAGGCAGAGGUUGCAAUGAGCUGAGAUCAUGCCAUUGCAUUCCAGCCUGGGUAACAAGAGCGAAACUCUAUCUCAAAAAAAAAUUAAUUAAUAAUAUAAAUAAAUAAUAAUUAAGUUCCAUUAUCUUAAAAACGAUUAUAGAUAUGUAUGUAUCCAUGUACGUGUAUAAAAUAAUAUUUGAAAAGACCAUUAAUCUCUUAUAAUAACGGAUAUGUAUAAAGACAAGGAUGAGUUUAAAGGAGUAAAGUUAAUAUUUUACUUUAUACUCUUAGAUAUGUUUUGAAAAUGUAAAUACAUACUCAUUUUUGAUAUAGUUAACAUUAUGAAGAGGACAAAAAACCAACUUAACAAUGACUAUUUUUAUUUGUUCUACUUUAUUCGAAAGAUGAAAAUUUCAUCCAUUAUGAUUGUGUGUUGAGCAGUUUGUGGUUUCUGUAUUUUGAACAUAUAUUAUUCAUCCUAUAAAGGUGCAUGUCUUUCGUAUUUACAUAGUUUAUGUUUUUAAUAUAAAAUGACCUUCUUUGUAUCAUUUUGUAUUUUUGUCUUGAAACCUACUUUGAUAUUAAUGCUUCAACUUUUGCUAUGUUUCUCUUUGUUUUUGCCUAAUAAACCUCACCCUAUCCAUUUAUAUUUAACCUGUGUCAUCUUGUUUUGGGCAUAUCUGCUGUAAGCAGCAGAUAGAUUGCAUCUUGUUUUUCUUUUUUUAACUCAAAUCCGAGAAUCUUUUUAUUUUGCAGAGAAGCUUAACCUUUUUAUUUCUGAUUAAUGCUUGAAAGUUCAGGUGCCAAAGUGGCCCAGAACUUAUUAAUGGUUUUAUAAGUCAAUUAACGUCAAUAAGCCUGAGUUUUCUUAUCUGUAAAACAUUGAUAACAGAGU